rnacentral:lncRNA from 1 species
AUGUUUAUCCUCUACCUCUGUAAUUGAGGAGUUCGGUAUCGUCCCAAAUGGUUGUAAACAUUUCGAUCUAGCUGCUCUUGUCGUCGAUUAUCGGUCACCGAUGAAGUAUUCGUAUUCGAUGCACAUCUAUUCAUCCAAGGACACUAAUUGGAGAAUCAUUCCGAUGGUCGAUCCGUACCCCGAGGUUAGGAAGGUUAUUGCAACCAGGUUGAUCACGAUCGCGGAAGGUGUGCUGGGAUGGGUCGAUCUCGAUCACGGCGUGAUGGUUUGCGACCUGCGUGAAGAUGUCCCCGGUUUACGCUACGUUCCUCUACCCGCGCCGCUGCCUCAGAACUGGUACAGAUUGAAGGAGUUUCUCCCAGGAACUUUUGCUAAGUCGUUUCGUGAUCUCGUGUGCGUCGACGGUGUGAUGAGCUUUGUCGAGAUGGAACACCGUGUGAUCGUAACAACUGAGAAGCCCAGUGAUCCCAGCAAAAUGCAGGUUCUUUACGACACUGACCUGAUAGUGUCAUAUAACCUCAAAGAUUUGGACAAGAAACCCCAGCAGCUGCAGAGAAAGGAUGGGUUAAGUCCAAAUCUUGCAGAGAAUUUAGCUUCUCCAACCCUAGGUGUGGAUGAUGGUGAUGUUGUGUACAUGAGAUAUAAUGCUAGCUUGGGUAAGGGGAAGAUAGUAGCUAUUGAUCUUAGAAGGAAGAAAGUGAAGGCAAUUGGACCAUAUUCCUUUGAAAAGCAUGCAUGA